rnacentral:rRNA from 1 species
GAUGAACGCUGGCGGCGUGCUUAACACAUGCAAGUCGAACGGAAAGGCCAGUGCUUGCACUGGUACUCGAGUGGCGAACGGGUGAGUAACACGUGGGUGAUCUGCCCUGUACUUCGGGAUAAGCUUGGGAAACUGGGUCUAAUACCGGAUAGGACAACUUUUUGGAUAUUGUUGUGGAAAGCUUUUGCGGUAUGGGAUGAGCUCGCGGCCUAUCAGCUUGUUGGUGGGGUAAUGGCCUACCAAGGCGUCGACGGGUAGCCGGCCUGAGAGGGUGUACGGCCACAUUGGGACUGAGAUACGGCCCAGACUCCUACGGGAGGCAGCAGUGGGGAAUAUUGCACAAUGGGCGCAAGCCUGAUGCAGCGACGCCGCGUGGGGGAUGAAGGCCUUCGGGUUGUAAACUCCUUUCGCUAGGGACGAAGCGCAAGUGGCGGUACCUGGAGAAGAAGCACCGGCUAACUACGUG